AUCUCGCGCCGAAGGCGAUGGAAUUGCACCGAAUCGGGGAAUUUAUCCUGAACCUCGGGCGGGAAGUACUGGGACAGUUCGCGGGCGAGAUAAGGAUCGUCCGGCACACUGGUGACGAGCAGAUCANNNNNNNNNGCGUAAGCGAGUAACACUGCAAGUUCCGGCCGGGUAAAGGGUUGGCCGCGCCUCGUGCGCUCGGUGAUUGCCACAUCGUCCGGCAGGAACUCCACGCCGCGGUC
rnacentral:misc_RNA from 1 species